GUCUGAACCCUUUGCUUAGUAACAAAGAGAUCACUGGGUGAUAUUCUACUUUGUAUCCUUGUCUCCAUCAUUUAGGGCAUCUAGUUGUUAGUGAUUACCAAAACACAGAGAAAGCAAAUUCACUGAACCUGAACCAGCAUUCAUGUCAAUCUCCAAUCUAGAAAAGAUUUUAGGAUUUCAUCCAGCUCACAUGAGGAACUGAAGGGUCAUCGGGUUUAGCAGUGGGAAGGAGUCAGAGAUACUCCCAGACAGAAGAAGGAGUAUAUGGAAACACUAGAAGCAAGAAAGAGAAGAAAAACAGUAUUAGAGAAGCAUGCUGAAGAUUUUCAUGAUGGCUCUUCUGCCUGCAUCUAUGGGCCAGAACGAGACCAUCUGUAACUUUACCACAUCUGUGAAAUAUGGAGAAAUUGCUGAAAUGUUAAGUGAGCUCCACUGUCUCUGCUACAGUUAAGUUGACAUUUCUAUCAGCGUUUACGUGUUCCACUGCUGAAUGUGUAUGAGAGUGCCAAGAUCAUUAGAACUUUGAGAACAGAAGCCGUCAUAAAAGACAGCAGACAUAAAAGGAAACUGAGAAGACAACCCACCAGGAGAUAUUCACAGUACUGCAGAAAAUGGAUGUACACCAAAAAAGAAAUGAACAUAUUAGAGGAUGGCUGCUUGACGAUUGUUGCCGGAAGCCUAAAUAUACAGCCUGUAUUCUGCCUCCUCCGAUGAACGUCUGCUGGAUGUUUCAAAACUUAGUUGUUCCUCAAUAAACCACAGGUAGUGCCUAGUAAAGGAUGUCUCACAAAAUAAAUAUACAGCUAGCUUUGCUGCCAGCAAUAUAGCACACAGAUCCCAAACCCUUCACCCUGCCACUACAUUCGGUAGUUAUAAAUCUGGAGAUUAUGCCACUUAGAGAAUAAAAUUUCAUAAGGGAAAUAUAUACUGUCUGACAGAAAGACAAACAAACAUGUACAUACAUGCGCGCACACAUAUCAGUUUGUUCAUUUAUUCAACUAAUGUUUUUUUGAGUAUCACAGUGUCCAAGGUGACAUAAUAAUUUAAAAGUGAAGGUACAUCUACUGGGUACUAUUAUAGUUAGAGAGGUGUUAUUGGUAAAGAUGACAAAGAAAGGCUUCUGACAUCUUUUAUAUUGUGGACUUAGUUGGCUCCAGGAUUGUCAGUCCUGUGACCACAUUCCCUGAGUGUAACUAUAAAGACAAAUUAUGAAGUAAGAGAAAAUGGAAUUCAAGAAAAGAAAUAUAGUAAAUUAAAAUAAUAAAACUUAAAAAUCGAAAGAAAAGACAAAGAUCUCAAUAACUAUAUUUAUGGAACUGGAAGCAGAGAUUUGUUGAGGAGAGUUUUGAAAAUAUCACAGAGCAGGCAAAAAAAGAUGUUUUUUAUAUUUGUAGGGUAAGUAAAGUUAACAUGUUCUUAAAAAUUACAGUGAUUCUAUUUUUUCAGAUUUUCUGUAUUUUUUUUAUUUUUAAUCACUUUGAAAGAUAAAGGACUGAGUUAGUUUAUGGAUAUCUAACAUCAUAUUUCAUUAUUAUUAGUAGCUCUGUGAGAUUCAACCAUUUUUACCUGCAUCUGUAUAGCUAUGUAUUGUUCCAUCAGUACUCACAACAUAACUUCAUUACAGUUUGUUCUUAUAACAAUUUUUUAAAAGCUCACAUGUACUUUUUUAAUUUAUCUGACAUAAAUAUUGUGAUGCUUGAUUUUUAAGGUUUUCAUUUGUCUAAUUCAUAAAUAAUUUAAUUUUAACUUUUAGAGUCCUUUGGUUUUUCAUGUGAGCUAUAUAGCCAAACUUGCUUUUCUAAGGUGAGCCUUUUUUCUCUUGAU